AGAGCGAACGCUGGCGGCAGGCUUAACACAUGCAAGUCGAGCGGGCGUAGCAAUACGUCAGCGGCAGACGGGUGAGUAACGCGUGGGAACGUACCUUUUGGUUCGGAACAACCCAGGGAAACUUGGGCUAAUACCGGAUAAGCCCUUACGGGGAAAGAUUUAUCGCCGAAAGAUCGGCCCGCGUCUGAUUAGCUAGUUGGUGGGGUAAUGGCCCACCAAGGCGACGAUCAGUAGCUGGUCUGAGAGGAUGAUCAGCCACAUUGGGACUGAGACACGGCCCAAACUCCUACGGGAGGCAGCAGUGGGGAAUAUUGGACAAUGGGCGCAAGCCUGAUCCAGCCAUGCCGCGUGAGUGAUGAAGGCCCUAGGGUUGUAAAGCUCUUUGUGCGGGAAGAUAAUGACGGUACCGCAAGAAUAAGCCCCGGCUAACUUCGUGCCAGCAGCCGC
rnacentral:rRNA from 1 species